rnacentral:rRNA from 1 species
AUAAAGAAAUAAUGAGCGCUGAGUUGGAGCG